rnacentral:rRNA from 1 species
ACUACACUCCUACGGGAGGCAGCAGUGGGGAAUUUUGGACAAUGGGCGAAAGCCUGAUCCAGCAAUGCCGCGUGAGUGAAGAAGGCCUUCGGGUUGUAAAGCUCUUUUGUCAGGGAAGAAACGGUGAAAGCUAAUAUCUUUUGCUAAUGACGGUACCUGAAGAAUAAGCACCGGCUAACUACGUGCCAGCAGCCGCGGUAAUACGUAGGGUGCAAGCGUUAAUCGGAAUUACUGGGCGUAAAGCGUGCGCAGGCGGUUUUGUAAGUCUGAUGUGAAAUCCCCGGGCUCAACCUGGGAAUUGCAUUGGAGACUGCAAGGCUAGAAUCUGGCAGAGGGGGGUAGAAUUCCACGUGUAGCAGUGAAAUGCGUAGAUAUGUGGAGGAACACCGAUGGCGAAGGCAGCCCCCUGGGUCAAGAUUGACGCUCAUGCACGAAAGCAUGGGUAGCAAACAGGAUUAGAAACCCGUGUAUUCCCAUG